rnacentral:rRNA from 1 species
CCUACGGGAGGCAGCAGUGGGGAAUAUUGCACAAUGGGGGAAACCCUGAUGCAGCGACGCCGCGUGAGUGAAGAAGUAUCUCGGUACGUAAAGCUCUAUCAGCAGGGAAGAAAAUGACGGUACCUGACUAAGAAGCCCCGGCUAACUACGUGCCAGCAGCCGCGGUAAUACGUAGGGGGCAAGCGUUAUCCGGAUUUACUGGGUGUAAAGGGGGCGUAGACGGGAGCACAAGUCUGGAGUGAAAUCCCGGGGGUUAACCCCGGACCUGCGUUGGAAACUGUGGGGCUGGAGUGCAGGAGGGGUAGGCGGAAUGCGUGGUGUAGCGGUGAAAUGCGUAGAUAGUAGGAGGAACACCGGUGGCGAAGGCAGCUUACUGGACUGUAACUGACGUUGAGGCUCGAAAGCGUGGGGAGCAAACAGGAUUAGAUACCCUGGUAGUC